CCUUGGAGGAACAUCGGAAGCGCUGAAGACGUCCUAGAGUUGCGACGUCUAACGAAGAAGAUGACGAUACCCCAGUUCCCCUACUGGUACUGCUACAGAAG